rnacentral:rRNA from 1 species
CAGCCGCCGCGGUAAUACGAAGGGUGCAAGCGUUAAUCGGAAUUACUGGGCGUAAAGCGUGCGUAGGCGGUGAGUUAAGUCUGCUGUGAAAUCCCCGGGCUCAACCUGGGAAUGGCAGUGGAUACUGGCUCGCUAGAGUGUGUCAGAGGAUUGGUGGAAUUCCCGGUGUAGCGGUGAAAUGCGUUGAGAUCGGAAAGAACACCAACGGCGAAAGCACUCUGCUGGGCCGACACUGACACUGAGAGACGAAAGCUAGGGGAGUAAAUGGGAUUAGAUACCCCAGUAGUCCCUGUCUCUUAUA